UCUUCGUAGGUGAACCUGCGGAGGGAUCAUUGAUGAAUUUAAACAUGGACUCCUUUGCCUUGGCAAGUUGUUCCUAUUCAUCCCACACACACUGUGCACCUUUUUUUCUUCUUCUGGUGGAGGCUUGAGGAAACGUCAGUGUUGCACACUGAUGGACUACUCUAAGCUAACGCUAGAACGAAACCCUAGUGAAUGUAAACAGUCAAAUGGUUAUUACACAUUCCUCACAAGGAACAUGUCUUAACAACUAUUAACGGUGGACCUCUUGGCUCUCGCAUCGAUGAAGAACGCAGC
rnacentral:misc_RNA from 1 species